ACGGAAGGCAGCAGUAAGGAAUCUUGCACAAUGGGGGAAACCCCGAUGCAGCAACGCCGCGUGAUCGAUGAAGGCCUUCGGGUUGUAAAGAUCUGAUCUAAGGGAAGAAACAAAUGACGGUACCUUAGGAGAAAGCCCCGGCUAACUACGUGCCAGCAGCCGCGGUAAUACGUAGGGGGCAAGCGUUAUCCGGAAUUAUUGGGCGUAAAGAGUGCGUAGGUGGUUACCUAAGCGCAAGGUUUAAUCUUGAGGCUUACCUCAUUCUGCCUUGCGAACUGGGCUACUUGAGUGCAGGAGGGGAAAGCGGAAUUCCUAGUGUAGCGGUGAAAUGCGUAGAUAUUAGGAAGAACACCGGUGGCGAAGGCGGCUUUCUGGACUGUAACUGACACUGAGGCACGAAAGCGUGGGGAGCAAACAGGAUUAGAUACCCUGGUA
rnacentral:rRNA from 1 species